rnacentral:rRNA from 1 species
UACAGAGGUAGCAAGCGUUGUUCGGAAUUACUGGGCGUAAAGGGCGCGUAGGCGGCUUGGUCAGUCCCGUGUGAAAUCCCUCGGCUCAACUGAGGAACUGCACGGGAAACUGCCUGGCUUGAGUUCGGGAGAGGGAAGCGGAAUUCCGGGUGUAGCGGUGAAAUGCGUAGAUAUCCGGAGGAACACCGGUGGCGAAGGCGGCUUCCUGGACCGACACUGACGCUGAGGCGCGAAAGCUAGGGGAGCAAACGGG